GCCGUUCUUAGUUGGUGGAGCGAUUUGUCUGGCUAAUUCCGAUAACGAACGAGACUCUGGCCUACUAACUAGCGGCGGUAUUCACGUCUCCCGCGCGACGCCGCGCUGCGCUGCGGCUGAGCACAGUCGUCGCCGUUUGCGCGAGCGCUCCGCGGAGCACCUGCAGUGCCGGCAGCCGCUUCUUAGAGGGACCAGCGACACUUUCGCAAGCCGCACGAGAAAGAGCAAUAACAGGUCUGUGAUGCCCUUAGAUGUACGGGGCUGCACGCGUGCUACACUGACGGCGUCAGCGUGCGUUCAAGCCCGGCCUGGCAAGGCCAGGAAAUCGGUUGAAACGUUCUCGUGACUGGGACAGGGAAUUGCAAUU
rnacentral:rRNA from 1 species